GGCACAAUUGAAAGGAAAAGAACGAAGCUGUUCAGUCAGCAGUGUGAAAUACGGCAGGCAGUUACUUUUUCGAGUUCCCGUACUGUUCUCGUGCUCUCUAAUUUCCAAGCCAGGCAGUUUCUUGGGCUAGCAGGUUACAUCAUCGUAACUCAGGCCUUCUCCGUCAAUAUUCCAUGGCCGUGGGAUAUAUCCAAGGCAUUUCCCCCUAUAGCAGGACCGGAUCGCCACCAUGGCAGCCGAAACAUCGUUAAGAUUGGAAGCGUUGCGAGUUAUCGGCCUCACUUUGAACAAGUUUUGAAUCGAGCCAUUUAGCCAGCCUACCAAACUGGCCAAAUACUCAGCAGAUACAGUUGUACUAUGUCUUACACUAACGGUGAUUAGCCCCUGCAUAAGUGCCACCUUAAUUACAUAGGAAUAAUCCUCUCAACGCCCAGAUGACAGGCGGGGGAGAAUAUCAGCUCCCAGCCCAGCGGCACGGGGCUGAUCCCUGCCCCUAACAGCAUUACCUGGCCCCAAGGGCGCAAUUGACAUUGAUGAAAUGGUGGGAUAUAUCCAUCUCGAGCGUGAGUACUGAAGGUGGAAGGGGAUACAAAUGUAUGGCUAGCAAGAUGCUGCCGAGAAAAAUCUCUCAUAUUAUUUUAUAUUCAUCCCAUACUUCCAUUCUUAUGUAUUUCGCUUUUAUUUAUUUCUAGAACUAUCAACGAGUGAAUUCAUUCCUUUCAUUCCUGGCUUUCUCCUCUCCUCUCUUCACCUAUUUAUUUGUUUAUCUGGUAUUUGUAUUUUUGGGUUCAUAUUGUUGGCGUUUUUGUUAGUCUGCCUCUACGUGGUAGGCAUUCAACUACUCAAAACACACCAGAAAUAGCUCGACCGUUAGAUAUGAUAUAUUGGCCUCAUCAAAUAAAGAGA
rnacentral:sRNA from 1 species